rnacentral:rRNA from 1 species
AAUCUUGCGCAAUGGGCGAAAGCCUGACGCAGCCAUGCCGCGUGAAUGAUGAAGGUCUUAGGAUUGUAAAAUUCUUUCUCCGGGGACGAUAAUGACGGUACCCGGGGAAGAAGCCCCGGCGAACUUCGUGCCAGCAGCUGCGGCAACACGAAGGGGGCUAGCGUUGCCCGGAAUUACUGGGCGUAAAGGGCGCGUAGGCGGACAUUUAAGUCAGGGGUGAAAUCCCAGGGCUCACCUCUGGAACUGCCUUUGAUACUGGGUGUCUUGAGUGUGAGAGAGGUAUGUGGAACUCCGAGUGUAGAGGUGAAAUUCGUAGAUAUUCGGAAGAACACCAGUGGCGAAGGCGACAUACUGGCUCAUUACUGACGCUGAGGCGCGAAAGCGUGGGGAGCAAACAG